CAAGAACUCUAAGCGGUGGAUCACUCGGCUCGUGURUCGAUGAAGAGCGCRSCCAACUGUGUGAAUUAAUGUGAACUGCAGACUGCCUUGAGCAUCGACCUCUUGAACGCAAAUUGCGGCAGCAGGCUCUGCCUGUUGCCACGUCUGGCCGAGAGUCGGCU
rnacentral:rRNA from 1 species